UACGGGGGGAGCAAGCGUUGUUCGGAUUUACUGGGCGUAAAGGGUGCGUAGGUGGCGCGGUAAGUCGGGUGUGAAAUCUCGGAGCUUAACUCCGAAAUUGCAUUCGAUACUGCCGUGCUCGAGGACUGGAGAGGAGACUGGAAUUCAUGGUGUAGCAGUGAAAUGCGUAGAGAUCAUGAGGAAGACCAGUGGCGAAGGCGGGUCUCUGGACAGUUCCUGACACUGAGGCACGAAGGCCAGGGGAGCAAACGGG
rnacentral:rRNA from 1 species